GGUGAACGCUGGCGGCGUGCUUAAGACAUGCAAGUCGAACGGCAGUCUUCGGACUGUAGUGGCGCACGGGUGAGUAACGCGUAACUGACCUACCCCAAAGUCGCGGAUAACGAUUCGAAAGAAUCGCUAAUACGUGAUGUGCUGUCUGAUUGUGUUCUGCCAGUAAAGAUUGAUUGCUUUGGGAUGGGGUUGCGUUCCAUCAGCUAGUUGGUGGGGUAAAGGCCCACCAAGGCGACGACGGAUAGCCGGCCUGGGAGGGUGGCCGGCCACAGGGGCACUGAGACACGGGUCCCACUCCUACGGGAGGCAGCAGUUAGGAAUCUUCCACAAUGGGCGAAAGCCUGAUGGAGCGACGCCGCGUGAGGGAUGAAGGUCUUCGGAUCGUAAACCUCUGAAUCAGGGACGAAAGACACUUCGGUGGGAUGACGGUACCUGAGUAAUAGCACCGGCUAACUCCGUGCCAGCAGCCGCCGUAAAAC
rnacentral:rRNA from 1 species